CAGCCGCCGCGGUAACACCAGCCCCUCGAGUGGUGGGGAUGAUUAUUAGGCCUAAAGCACCCGUAGCCUGCUUUGUUAGUUUUCGGUUAAAUCCAUACGCUCAACAUACAGGCUGCCGGGAAUACUGCAGCGCUAGGGAGUGGGAGAGGUAGACGGUACUCGGUAGGAAGGGGUAAAAUCCUUUGAUCUAUUGAUGACCACCUGUGGCGAAGGCGGUCUACCAGAACACGUCCGACGGUGAGGGAUGAAAGCUGGGGGAGCAAACCGGAUUAGAUACCCGGGUAGUCCCAGCUGUAAACUAUGCAAACUCAGUGAUGCAUUGGCUUGUGGCCUAUGUAGUGCUGCAGGGAAGCCGUUAAGUUUGCCGCCUGGGAAGUACGUACGCAAGUAUGAAACUUAAAGGAAUUGGCGGGGGAGCAC
rnacentral:rRNA from 2 species